UGGGGAAUUUUGGACAAUGGACGAAAGUCUGACGCAGCAACGCCGUGUGAGUGAUGAAGGUCUUCGGAUCGUAAAGCUCUGUCAGGAGGGAAGAACCUAUGCUAUUAAUACCAGCAUACUGACGGUACCUCCAGAGGAAGCUCCGGCUAACUUCGUGCCAGCAGCCGCGGUAAUACGAGGGGAGCUAGUGUUGUUCGGAUUUACUGGGCGUAAAGGGAGUGUAGGCGGGCAUCUAAGUCAGAGGUGAAAUUUCGGGGCUCAACCCUGAACUUGCCUUCGAUACUGGGUGUCUUGAGUAUGGAAGAGGUCGAUGGAAUUCCUGGUGUAGCGGUGGAAUGCGUAGAUAUCAGGAGGAACGCCAAUAGCGAAAGCAGUCGACUGGGACAAUACUGACGCUGAAACUCGAAAGCAUGGGGAGCAAACAGG
rnacentral:rRNA from 1 species